AGUGGAAGGUGAUCGAGCCUAUUUGAUAGGUUAGGAAAGUCCAUGCUAGCACAUUCUGAGAUGAAUGUAGUGUUUGUGUCUAAGGAAAAAAUAACUUAGGGUACGAGUAAUCGUAACGGCGUUCGAUGGUCUAAGGGAAACUAUGACCUAGACGUAAUGUGCCACAGAAACGAGUUGUUCAGAAAUGAACAAAUGAAACGCGGUAAACCCCUCAAGCUAGCAACCCAAAUUUGGUAGGGGCACGUAUAAAGACGAACUCAAGUCGAUAUAUGCUACGAAGUAGAGAUAAAUGGUCACACCCUUUAAGGGAACAGAACAUGGCUUAUGCAC
rnacentral:RNase_P_RNA from 1 species